AAUCGUGCUUUGCCGCACGAUUUGUAGAUUGCGCGUUGGACUCUGUGUGGAACGCGGUGUCCAUCUCCCUUGGAACGGGGCCCCCAAGAGGGUGAGACCCCCGUGGGGUGCCGGCGGAAUCUUUGAGGCCCUUCUGACAAUUCAAGUUGUUGGGGAAGGCACCUCCAAGCGGGGGGUAAAUUCCAUCUAAGGCUAAAUACUGGCGAGAGACCGAUGCCGAACAAGUACUGUGAAGGAAAGAUGAAAAGCACUUUGAAAAGAGAGUGAAACAGCACGUGAAAUUGUUGAAGGGGAAGGGUAUUGCGCCCGACAUGGGGAUUGCGCACCGCUGCCUCUCGUGGGCGGCGCUCUGGGCUUUCCCUGGGCCAGCAUCGGUUCUUGCUGCAGGAGAAAGGGUUCUGGAACGUGGCUCUUCGGAGUGUUAUAGCCAGGGCCAGAUGCUGCGUGCGGGGACCGAGGACUGCGGCUCUCUGUCUGUCAUGCAUGCUGGCAGAACGGCU
rnacentral:rRNA from 1 species